rnacentral:rRNA from 1 species
CCGGUUGCCGGCGACCGGCGCACGGGUGAGUAACACGUAUGCAACCUGCCCGUGGCAGGGGGAUAAGCGGGGGAAACCCCGUCUAAUACCGCGUAACGCGGCCUAGGGACAUCCCAAGGCCGCCAAAGGGAGCAAUCCCGGCCACGGAUGGGCAUGCGGCGCAUUAGCUAGUCGGCGGGGUAACGGCCCACCGAGGCGACGAUGCGUAGGGGUUCUGAGAGGAAGGCCCCCCACACUGGUACUGAGACACGGACCAGACUCCUACGGAAGGCAGCAG